AAUCCCCCUCCCCAACAACACCAGCAGGAAACCUCAGUGAUAGUGUCUUCUCCAACCGCGGAAGGGCAGACACAAAUCAAAGUCAUCCGAAGAAACAUUUCUCUUAUGUCACACCAAACAUGACACCCAAAGGGGAGCAACAAUGGGGUCACCAGCAAACUGUGACUCAGCAAAGUUGUGUCGCCCAGAAGAGACAUGGACCAGAAAAAAAGCCCUUCCCCUCAGUAUGACUGCUACAUCGCCCAGCUCCCGGGGCUCCACUGCUGCAGGUGUCCUUGGGCCGGUGGCCAGUGAGGGGUGACAAAGGCACGACCCUCUCCAACCAGCCACCUUCCAAGAAGUUCCCAGUCACAAGCGAUACAUCACCUCCUUCUGUGUUCUCAGGGUGCUCUGUUUGAUGUACCCUUUCCCCCCCUCUGCUGCUCACCACAUUUUCAUCUCAGUCCUGUGUACCAACUGACAUUUGUCCCGAGAGCUGUUUAAGCCCAUGCUGGCUUUCCUCUGAGUUCCCUUGAAGUGGCCUGGUCAAGAGAAACACAUACAUAUUUUGAACAAAAUAACGUGCUUCUUUUCUAAAGAUUUCUUUAUUUAUAAA